ensembl:lncRNA LINC00687 long intergenic non-protein coding RNA 687
GGAGGAGGAGGAGGAGGGAGUGUGCAGAAGCUGGGGGGGAUUCCAAUGUUGGAAGCAUUUUUAGCGUACAACAACAUCCAAGUGGAUUACUAUGAAUGCCUAGACCUCUAUGGCAAACAGGUCAGUAAAAAGAACAAUUCAUGGAAUCUAAAACUUGUAUUCUGUUUCUGGUAGCCCCUAUUUUCUAGUCUGUAAAGGCUGAGAUAACAUCAGAUUCUAUAAAAGCUGUCUUUGAA